ACGAACGCUGGCGGCGUGCUUAACACAUGCAAGUCGAACGGAAAGGCCCUGCGUUUGUGGGGUGCUCGAGUGGCGAACGGGUGAGUAACACGUGAGUAACCUGCCCUUGACUUUGGGAUAACUUCAGGAAACUGGGGCUAAUACCGGAUAGGAGCUCCUGCUGCAUGGUGGGGGUUGGAAAGUUUCGGCGGUUGGGGAUGGACUCGCGGCUUAUCAGCUUGUUGGUGGGGUAGUGGCUUACCAAGGCUUUGACGGGUAGCCGGCCUGAGAGGGUGACCGGCCACAUUGGGACUGAGAUACGGCCCAGACUCCUACGGGAGGCAGCAGUGGGGAAUAUUGCACAAUGGGCGGAAGCCUGAUGCAGCAACGCCGCGUGCGGGAUGACGGCCUUCGGGUCGUAAACCGCUUUCGCCUGUGACGAAGCGUGAGUGACGGUAAUGGGUAAAGAAGCACCGGCUAACUACGUG
rnacentral:rRNA from 1 species